rnacentral:lncRNA from 1 species
UCCUCAAAAACUGAAAAGAGACUAUUUGUGAAAAAACUGAAGAGAAAUUCCAAACACCAUGGAACAACUAUGAAUGGUAGAAAUACAUGUGAAUACCAAAAGGAAAAAGAAGAGAAAAAAAAGGAAAAAUAUGUGAAACAGUAACUGAUAAUUUCUCCCAAAUUAAUAUCUGAUAUCAAGCCAAGGGUCUAGGAAACUCAAAGACAUCAAGAAGGGUAAAUGCCAAAAAAUUACACCCUGCUACAUUUCUUUCAAAUUAUACAAAACUAAAAUAAAUUCCAAAAGAAGCCAGAGUAAAAAUACAGUUUACCUAAAGAAGAACAAAGAUAAGUUCUCAUUUGCAGAAAAUAUGAAAACAAGAAGAGAAAGGACAGACAUAUUUAAACAACCACCAAAUUAUAAUUUUGUACCCUGUGAGAUUAUCCUCCAAAUACGAAGGAGGAAUAAAGAUUUUCUUGGACAAACAGAAAUUGAGGGAAUGUGUUGCUAGUGGACUUGCCUUGACAGAAAAGUUAAAAGGAGUUCUAUAGAGAGAGGGAAAAUAAUAUAAUAAGACUGGAUCUACAUAAAGAAAGAGCUUGAAAGAGGAAUGUAUGGAAAGAAAAUAAAAACUUUUAUUUUUCUCAUUCUUAAUUGAGAGCACCAAAUCCUAACCACCAGACCGCCAGGGAAGUUUCCUAUUCUUAAUUGAUCUAAUCGGUAACAGUGUGUUCAAAAUAAAAACAGCAAUAAUGUAUUCAAUUAUGUAUGUUUAUGUAUCUAUCAUAUAGAUUUAUUUAUGCUAAUUUCUAAGUGAAAUGAUAACAGCAAUGGUAUAAGGAAUGAGAGGAAGUUAGGGUUAUUUUAAGUUAUGGACAUUACCCAUGAAAUGGUAUAGUAUUAUUUGAAAGUGGACUAAGAUUAGUUGUAAAUGUAUAUUGAAAACUCUAAGAUAACCACCAAAAAAGCCAAAAAAGCCAAAAUAGAAAUAAAAUAAAAUAGAAAAAUAAAAUCCAAUAGAGUAAGAAGUUCCCACCAUAGGAAACUAUCUAUCUAUCUAUCUAUGUAUCUAUACAACUGAAAUACCAAAAAAGAAAGUAAAAAAGAAAGUAAAAUCAUAUGCUCAAAAAAAUGAACAGGGAGAGAAAAUGGAAUCAUAUAAAAUUACAAGACAUCCUAAAGCAGUGAAGGACAAAAUAAAAGAACAAUAAACAACAGCAACAAAGAGAAAACAGUGACAAAUAUGCUAGAUAUUAACCUAACUCUAUUGAUAAAUCACUUUGAAUAUCAAUGAUCUAAAUGUAUCAACUAAAAGAGAUCAUCAGAGUGAAUCAAAAACCAUGACUGAACUAUGUCAUCUAUAAGAAACUCACUUUCAAUAUAAACACAUAUAUGGAUUAAAAGUAGACGGAUGGGGAAAAAAUAUAGUAUGCUAAAACUAAAGAAAAGAGGCAGGAAUAGCUAUGUGCCUAAUAGCAGAGCAUCAAACAAUGUGAUUCAAAAACUGACAGAACUCAAGGAGAACUAGACAAACCCACUGUCAUAGUUGGAGACUUUAACACCCUUCUGCCAGUAAUGGACACAUCCAGCUGGCAGAAAAUCAGUAAGGACACAGUUGAAAUCACUGACACUAUCAAUUAACUGGAUACAAUUGACAUCUAUAGACUACUUCAUCCAACUACAGCAGAAUACACAUUCUUUUUAAGCACACAUAAAAUAUUUACAAAGAUAGACCACAUUGCGAGCCGCACAACACACUUUAACAAAUUUAAAAGGAUAGAUACAAUGCAAAAUCUGCCUUCAGACUGCAGUGGAAUUAAACCAGAAAUAAAUAGCAGGAAGAUAACUGGAAUAGUCCCAAAUACAUGGAGAUUAAGCAACACACUUCUAAAUAACACAUGGAUGAAAUAAAAUCUCAUAGAAAUUUAAGAGAUAUCAACUAAAUAAAAACAAAAAGACAGCUUUUCAAAAUUUGUGGGAUGCAGCAAAAGAAAUGCUUAGAGGGACAUUUAUAGCAUUAAGGGCAGAUGCUAGAAAGGAGAGAUCUAACAUCCAAUCAUAGUAGUCUCCACUGUGGCACACUGGGUUGAGGAUCUGGCAUGGCCACAGCUGGGGCAGAGGUCGCAGCUAUGGCUCAGACUCAGUCCCUGGCUUGGCAACUUCCAUAUGCCAGGGGUGCAGCCAAAAUAGAAAUAAAAUAAAAUACUAAAAUAAAAUCCAAUAGUAUAAGAAGUUCCCACCAUAGGAAACUAGAAAAAAAGAGAGCAAAUUUAAAUCAAAACAAGCAGAAGUUGAAAACAGAAUAUCCGUAAACUAUUAAAACCAAAAGCUGGUACUUUGAAAAAAAUCAAUAAAAUUGGAGUUCCCAUCAUGGCGCAGUGGUUAACGAAUCUGACUAGGAACCAUGAGGUUGAGGGUUUGAUCCCUGGCCUUGCUCAGUGGGUUGACGAUCCAGCGUUGCUGUGAGCUGUGGUGUAGGUCGCAGAUGCAGCUUGGAUCCUGCGUUGCUGUGGCUCUGGCGUAGGCCGGUGGCUACAGCUCUAAUUCGACCCCUAGCCUGGGAACCACCAUAUGCCGCGGGAGCGGCCCUAGAAAAGGCAAAAAGACAAAAAAAAAAAAAAAAUCAAUAAAAUUAAUAAGACUUUAGCCAGGAUAACAAAGAGGAAAAAAAGAGAGAGAGCAGAUAUGUUAUUAAUAAGAGAAUUGAAAGAAGGGACUUUUACUACAGAUACUAUGGAAAUGAAAAGGAUAAUAAAAUAAUAUUAUGGAGUAAUGAUACCCCCAAGGUUGAUAAUCUAGAUGAAAUUGACUAAUUCCCUAA